rnacentral:antisense_RNA from 1 species
GAGACGGAGUCUUGCUCUGUUGCCCAGGCUGGAGUGCAGUGGCAUGAUCUCAGCUCACUGCAACCUUCACCUCUUGGUUUCAAGCAAUUCUCUUGCCUCAGCCUCCUAAGUAGCUGGGAUUACAAGUGCCUGCCACCACGUCUGGCUAAUUUUUAUGUUUUUGGUAGAGUUGGGGUUUCACCAUGUUGACCAGGCUGGUCUUGACCUCCUGACCUGAGGUGAUCCGCCUGCCUCGGCCUUCCAAAGUGCUGGGAUUACAGGCAUGAGCCACCGCGCCUGGCCCCACCAUUAGCUUUUAAUCACUGUUUUCAGAAGGAGGUUGGUGGCAUGCGGGGGCCGGGCUGGGUGGCUUCCUCAGCAUGACGUCUGUGCAGAUGAGGCUGCGCGUCGUGCUCCAAAAAUACUUACCAUGUUUUGCCAGAAGAGAGGCCACCUUCUGCCCUCUGCUGAGGAUUUGAGUCCUUUUGCCCUUGGUGAGAACACCAAAGAGGACUGCCGGAAUGCGAGUUCAAAAGCAGAUUUCAAUCCUAAAUCUCUUAAACAGUCAGCAUUGGCUUGUCUCACUAGAAUACCCUGUUUCUCUUCUUCCUGAAUUCUUCCCCUGCCUGCCCCCAAAAUGUGAAGCUUGCUGAAAUCAAUUUGAAAGGAGACAGCACAUGCCUUUUGUUUCUCCGCUCUCCCCCUGUUUCUCUUCCUUCCUGCUCCCUGCAUAAUCUGAAUUAUCUGAAGGCAGGAGGAAGCCAAGGUCAGAUUCAGGCAAGGUACAUUUCUGAUGUAUGUGGACACGGAAGAGAAGAUGUCUAAAAGGCAACUAGAUGUGAGGCCUGGGCCCUGCAGAGUCUGCAGAGUAGAUCUGAACUUGGAAGUCAGCAUGGGAUGGAGCUGACCCCAGGGGAAAGGAACCGCGCAAGUGCAAGGUUUGCAUGAGUGGGUGCUUCUCAGGGUGACCAAGACCCUUCCGGAGACUUCAGUUCCUCUGACUAUAUGAGACCCAAGAGAAAAACAGCACAAAGUGCUCCUUGAGUUCAAGGGAAUACAUAAAUUCUGAACAUUUCCAUGUCUACUAGCAUACAACCUAAACAGGGAUAAAAAGACACCUUUCAAGUCAGAAAUAGGGAAGAUACCACUUCUCUGCAUUUGCUGCUACCUCUUUAUUCCUUUCUUUAGGUCACCAAAUAUCUAUUGAGUGCUUGCUCUGUGAUCUGGCAGACAACUCAAAGGCACAGAGAUGAAGAUGACACGCUCCAUGGAGCCAGGAAAGGGCCUGGAUGCUGUGGGAAACACUACAAUAGGUAGAACUCUGUAAAAAUGAGAUUUCAAUGAAGUUUACCAUCUAGUGGAGAAGAGAUCCAAGGACACCCGUGACUGAGAAAUAAAACAGAAUCAACUGGGUGCAAUAGGAGAAGUUGCUGACAAAGGGCUUGGAGACUGAGAAGAGAGAGAAACAUCACCAAGUUCCUUACAGAGAAAGGCAUUUGAUAAAAUGUGUGUUGAAUGAAAGGACCAGGGGUUUGUGGAGGAUGAGGAAAUGAUGGCUGUGAGAUGGGCCUGAGAGGAGGGGCAGGGUUUUGAACUUGGGAGGAAAGGUGCCAUCCCAUUCAGAAGGAGGAUGAAAUCGGGGAUAAAAUGAGGUGGCUGAUAUGAAAGUAGGGCAUCCUUGGCUUGGGCUUGUGAGAAGUGUGGGCCACAGUGUUAUGGCCAGUCAGGAGCCAGGCUUUCAGUUCUAAUGGGGCUUAGAGAAAAGGCCGAUUCAAGUCUCUUUGCUCAUGGCAAGAGGAGGAAAGGGGGCUCUUGGUAACCGAGGACCUGCUUCUUAAGUGUUGGAGACUUUGCAUUCAUUACCUCUUUUAACACUAAGAACUCUGUGAGGUAGCUCCUUAGUCCCAGCACUUUUCAGGUGUGGAAACUAAGGCUUAGAGAAGAAGUGUGUCC